rnacentral:rRNA from 1 species
GAGGAAUAUUGGGCAAUGCCCGAAAGGGUGACCCAGCAACGCCGCGUGGAGGAUGAAGGUCGUAAGAUUGUAAACUCCUGUUAGAGGGGAAGAAUAACUAAGUUUGGAGCUUAGUAUGACUGUACCCUCAGAGAAAGCCCCGGCUAACUACGUGCCAGCAGCCGCGGUACUACGUAGGGGGCAAGCGUUGUCCGGAUUUACUGGGUGUAAAGGGCGCGCAGGCGGAAUGGAAAGUCAGUGGUGAAAUCCUACAGCUUAACUGUAGAACUGCCUUUGAUACUUUUAUUCUUGAGUUCGGGAGAGAGAGACGGAAUUCCAGGUGUAGUGGUGAAAUACGUAGAUAUCUGGAAGAACACCAGUUGCGAAGGCGGUCUCUUGGUCCGACACUGACGCUGAGGCGCGAAAGCGUGGGGAGCAAACA